GAUGAACGCUAGCGGGAGGCUUAACACAUGCAAGUCGAGGGGCAGCACGAUGUAGCAAUACGUUGGUGGCGACCGGCGCACGGGUGAGUAACACGUAUGCAACCUACCCUGUACAGGGGGAUAACCCGGAGAAAUUCGGACUAAUAUCCCAUAAUGAUAUUUGAGGGCAUCCUUAGAUAUUUAAAGCUCAGGCGGUACGGGAUGGGCAUGCGGAACAUUAGCUAGUUGGGAGGGUAACGGCCUACCAAGGCAACGAUGUUUAGGGGACCUGAGAGGGUGAUCCCCCACACUGGUACUGAGACACGGACCAGACUCCUACGGGAGGCAGCAGUGAGGAAUAUUGGUCAAUGGGCGCAAGCCUGAACCAGCCAUCCCGCGUGCAGGAAGACGGCCCUAUGGGUUGUAAACUGCUUUUCCAGGGGGAGAAUUUUUCUGUCGUGACAGGAAUUGACGGUACCCUGGGAAUAAGCAUCGGCUAACUCCGUG
rnacentral:rRNA from 1 species